CCAUCUCAAUAAAAUAUUUACUUACCAAAAAAAGAAACAACAACAACAACAACAAACUCAGUGUGUUCCCACAAAGUAGGGUCUCGGGAGGAUAAGAUGUACGCAGUCCAUACCGCUAACUCUGAAGAAGUAGAGAGGUUAUUUACGAUAGACUCCCGGCUCAAGAUAAAGAAUAAGCGGCAAGGAGAUGAAAUACAUAACAGAAAAGGCGUAAGGAAUACUAAAAAGUAAAUCAAAGCAAUACGGAAAUACGAGAGAUACGGCAACACGAAGUAAGCAGAUAGCAACUGAGAAAAUAUGAAAGGGACCCCCAAGUAUAAGUAACAAAUAUUCGCCGCCAUAGACACUUAUAGACACAGACCUAAGGUUACUAAGCCGGCUACACAAGAUCUCUCCUGGUGGUUUGCUACAACCGACACCCUCCCCCG
rnacentral:lncRNA from 1 species